GACGAACGCUGGCGGCGUGCCUAAUACAUGCAAGUAGAACGCUGAAACUUGGUGCUUGCACCGAGCGGAUGAGUUGCGAACGGGUGAGUAACGCGUAGGUAACCUGCCUGGUAGCGGGGGAUAACUAUUGGAAACGAUAGCUAAUACCGCAUAAGAGUAGAUGUUGCAUGACAUUUGCUUAAAAGGUGUAAUUGCACCACUACCAGAUGGACCUGCGUUGUAUUAGCUAGUUGGUGGGGUAACGGCUCACCAAGGCGACGAUACAUAGCCGACCUGAGAGGGUGAUCGGCCACACUGGGACUGAGACACGGCCCAGACUCCUACGGGAGGCAGCAGUAGGGAAUCUUCGGCAAUGGACGGAAGUCUGACCGAGCAACGCCGCGUGAGUGAAGAAGGUUUUCGGAUCGUAAAGCUCUGUUGUAAGAGAAGAACGAGUGUGAGAGUGGAAAGUUCACACUGUGACGGUAUCUUACCAGAAAGGGGCGGCUAACUACGUG
rnacentral:rRNA from 1 species